rnacentral:rRNA from 1 species
CUGUCUGAAUAUGGGGGGACCAUCCUCCAAGGCUAAAUACUCCUGACUGACCGAUAGUGAACCAGUACCGUGAGGGAAAGGCGAAAAGAACCCCGGCGAGGGGAGUGAAAAAGAACCUGAAACCGUGUACGUACAAGCAGUGGGAGCACCCUUUGGGUGUGACUGCGUACCUUUUGUAUAAUGGGUCAGCGACUUAUAUUCUGUAGCAAGGUUAACCGAAUAGGGGAGCCGGAGGGAAACCGAGUCUUAACCGGGCGUUAAGUUGCAGGGUAUAGACCCGAAACCCGGUGAUCUAGCCAUGGGCAGGUUGAAGGUUGGGUAACACUAACUGGAGGACCGAACCGACUAAUGUUGAAAAAUUAGCGGAUGACCUGUGGCUGGGGGUGAAAGGCCAAUCAAAC